CUACGGGAGGCAGCAGUGAGGAAUAUUGGUCAAUGGGCGCAAGCCUGAACCAGCCAUGCCGCGUGGAGGAUGACAGCCUUCUGGGUUGUAAACUUCUUUUAUAUGGGAAGAAAAGUACGGUUUCUACUGUAUCCGACGGUACCAUAUGAAUAAGCACCGGCUAACUCCGUGCCAGCAGCCGCGGUAAUACGGAGGGUGCAAGCGUUAUCCGGAUUUACUGGGUUUAAAGGGUGUGUAGGCGGAUAUUUAAGUCAGAGGUGAAAUCUCCGGGCUCAACCCGGAAACUGCCUUUGAUACUAUUUAUCUUGAAUUUCGUUGAGGUUGGCGGAAUAUAUCAUGUAGCGGUGAAAUGCAUAGAUAUGAUAUAGAACACCGAUUGCGAAGGCAGCUGGCUGAACGACGAUUGACGCUGAGGCACGAAAGCGUGGGUAGCGAACAGGAUUAGAAACCCGUGUAGUCC
rnacentral:rRNA from 1 species